AUAAUAUCUUGGGCUCUUCUAAUCAAGCCAUACGGCUCAUUGGCAAGUCAUCAGAGGAAACAUCUAUCUAUCUAUACAUUCAUGCAAUAAGUAUUUAUUUAGUGCCUAUGUGCCAGACACUGUUUGUGGGGAAAACAAGACACAUGGGCUAUUAUUGCCUCAUGGAAGGAACUAAGCUGUUUGGAUUUUGAAAAAUCCCUUUCUCUGGGCCUCAAUUCCUCGACCUGUUCAGAAAUGUGCGCUCACAAUGGUCCUAGACAUCUUAGAUUCAGGUUCCAUUUUCAGUUCUUUCCUGUCCUGCGGCCAUCUGCAAGUUAAUUUGGUCUCCCUGAACCUCAGUUUCCUCAUCUGUAAAAUGAAGAUCAUACAACUCGUUUCAUCAGGUUGUACUGAGGCUGGAAAAGAUAGUCUAACUACUGACGCAUCGUGUGCUCAGCCUAGGGUGGCUGCUACCGCGGGUGCCUGCGGACUCCUAGGACGGGCACCAGCCCGGGACCCCUGACAAGGUGUUGAUUAGGGUGUGGCUAAGCCCCAGGCGGGAGAAAGCGUUG
rnacentral:lncRNA from 1 species